rnacentral:rRNA from 1 species
AUUGAACGCUGGCGGCAGGCCUAACACAUGCAAGUCGAGCGAGCGGCGGACGGGUGAGUAAUGUAUGGGGACUGCCCGAUAGAGGGGGAUAACUACUGGAACCGGUGGAUAAUACUGCAUACUAUGGGAUAACCCAUAUGGGAUUAGCUAGUUGGUGGGGUAAAGGCUCACCUAGGCGACGAUCCCGAGCUGGUCGGAGAGGAUGAUCAGCCACACUGGGACUGAGACACGGCCCAGACUCCUACGGAGGCAGCAGUGGGGAAUGUUGCACAAUGGGCGAAAGCCUGAUACAGCCAUGCCGCGUGUAUGAAGAAGGCCUUAGGGUUGUAAAGUACUUUCAGCGGGGAGGCGGUACCCGAAGAAGAAGCACCGGCUAACUCCGUGCCAGCAGCCGCGGUAAUAC